rnacentral:snRNA from 1 species
GUGCUCGCUUCGCAGCACAUAUACUAAAUUGAACGAUACAGAGAAGAUUAGCAUGCCCCUGCGCAAGGAUGACACGCAAAUUGUGAAGCGUUCCAUAUUUAA